UCCCCCGCCGGGCGGCUGGGCUGUGUGCGGCGGCGGCGGCGGCGGCGGCCGCCGAGGGGGAUGGAGCGAUCGCCGAGCCGGGUCAGAGGUGAACAAUGACCCUAGUUGACAAAGCUUCUGAAUCUUCAGACUCAUCAACCUGUCAGAACCAGCCUGGCAGUUCUGAGGCAGUCCCACCUGGAGACAUGGAUGCAGGUUCUGCCAGCUGGGGUGCUGUGUCUUCAUUAAAUGAUGUUUCAAAUCACACGCUUUCUUUAGGACCAGUACCUGGUGCUGUAGUUUAUUCAAGUUCAUCUGUACCUGAAAAAUCAAAACCAUCACCACAAAAGGAUCAAGCCCUAGGUGAUGGCAUUGCUCCUCCACAAAAAAUUCUUUUCCCAUCUGAGAAGAUUUGUCUUAAGUGGCAGCAAACUCAUAGAGUAGGAGCUGGGCUCCAGAAUUUGGGCAAUACCUGUUUUGCCAACGCAGCGCUGCAGUGUUUAACUUACACGCCACCUCUUGCCAACUACAUGCUAUCACACGAACACUCCAAGACAUGUCAUGCAGAAGGAUUUUGUAUGAUGUGUACAAUGCAAGCUCAUAUUACCCAGGCGCUCAGUAAUCCUGGGGAUGUUAUUAAACCGAUGUUUGUCAUUAAUGAGAUGCGGCGCAUAGCUAGGCACUUCCGUUUUGGAAGCCAAGAAGAUGCCCAUGAAUUCCUUCAGCACACUGUUGAUGCUAUGCAAAAAGCAUGCUUGAAUGGCAGCAACAAAUUAGACAGACACACCCAGGCUACCACACUGGUUUGUCAGAUAUUUGGAGGAUACCUAAGAUCUAGAGUCAAAUGUUUAAAUUGCAAAGGUGUGUCAGAUACUUUUGAUCCAUAUCUCGAUAUAACAUUGGAGAUAAAGGCUGCUCAGAGCGUUAACAAGGCAUUGGAGCAGUUUGUGAAGCCGGAACAGCUCGAUGGAGAAAACUCGUACAAGUGCAGCAAGUGUAAAAAGAUGGUUCCAGCUUCGAAGAGGUUCACUAUACACAGAUCUUCUAACGUUCUUACACUUUCUCUGAAACGUUUUGCAAAUUUUACUGGUGGAAAAAUUGCUAAGGAUGUGAAAUAUCCUGAAUAUCUUGACAUUCGACCAUAUAUGUCUCAGCCAAACGGAGAACCGAUCAUUUAUGAUUUGUAUGCAGUACUGGUACACACUGGUUUUAAUUGCCAUGCUGGACAUUACUUCUGCUACAUAAAAGCUAGCAAUGGCUUCUGGUACCAAAUGAAUGACUCCAUCGUAUCUAUCAGUGAUAUUAGAUCGGUACUCAGUCAACAAGCUUAUGUUCUCUUUUAUAUCAGGUCCCACGAUGUGAAAAAUGGAGGUGAACUUACUCAUUCCGCCCAUAGCCCUGGCCAGUCCUCUCCCCAACCGGUGAUCAGCCAGCGGGUUGUCAGCAACACACAGGCAGCAUCCGGGUUUAUCGGACCACAGCUUCCUUCUCACCUGGUGAAGAACCCACCUCAUCUAAACGGGACGGGACCCUUGAAGGAAACGCCGAGCAGCUCCAUGUCAAGUCCUAACGGGAAUUCCAGUGUCGGUAGGACUGGCCCUGUUAACGCCUCAACAGUUCUAACGCCAGUUCAGAACUGGUCGGUUAACAGGCCCUCAUUUAUUCCAGAACAUCGCAAGAAAGAGAAAAUCACCAUCAAUAUUCACAAGUUACCUGUGCGCCAAGUUCAGUCUCAGCCUGCCCGUCACAGCAAUUCCCUGGAGAGCCCUAACAAGCCUGCCCCCUCGUCUACCAUCACCACUUCAGCACAGUCUACCUCGAGUGCCCCCAUCAUGCCCGCGUCGGGUAAGAUAACAAAGAAGAUCACCCUGAGGGCGUCCGGCCCUCAGCCUGUGAUGAACAGCAGGUCCAGGCUUAGCUCCGGCGUGCUGGUCCCCUACGGCGCCGAGUCGUCCGAAGAGUCCGACGAGGAGGCGAAGGGCCUCGGCAAGGAGAAUGGUCUCGGCCCCGCCGAGAGCGCACGCGCCCCUGCUCCAGUUGCCGAAGAUGUCGAGGCCUCUCCGCACGAGCUCCGAGAGCCUGUGGCUCUAAACAGUGCUAACAGUACGGACGGCGACCCGAAAGAAAACGGCCUGCCCUCGGGUGCUGCCCCCUGCCAAGUCCAGCCUGGUCUACUCUCAGAAAACCCCUUUUCUAAGGCAAACGGUCUCCCUGGGAAGUUGAUGCCUGCUCCUUUGCCACCUCUCCCAGAAGACAAAAUCUUAGACACCUUCAAACUCGGCCGCAAAGGGAAAGGCUCCACAGAUGAGAUGAGUACCACUGGGACAGAGGAGAGGCCUCCGCAGGACCCCGAGGCUGAGCUGGAGGCUGGCAGCUGCGCUCCCGAUUCCCUUGAGAACCUGGAGCUGAUCACGAGCAAAUUCAAGAAGCUUUUGUUACCCUCGGACCCCAGCAUCAAACCUACCCAAGAAGUCGUCUCUGAAAACAUUUUGGCAAAACCCGAGGAGGCUUUGCCGAGCAUGAACACCUUUUAUAACACCAACAAGGAUACCCUGGGGGAUGAUCAGCUUCCUAAACCGUGUGACCCUGGGAACGAUCAGAGCAAACCGUCCCAGGACGUGAAAGGGGCAUUACCAGAGCGUCCCCAAGACCCGGCGGCAGCAGAAGCAGCGGGGAGGCUGAGCCCGAGUCCCUUAUCACGUACCGAGGGCGACUGUGAGCCUGAGCCCUUGGGUCACAGCAGUCGGGACAGAGGCACGGAUGUGGAGGGUCCCCCUAAAAGCACAGGGGUGUCCGCAGAUGGGGUGCCCUCUCCACAAUUAGGCUGGAUUGCAGAAAACCGUCCAGAGGGGGUCCCCGAGCAAAGUAACGGUGAGAGAGGUGAAGACAGUAAGGCCGGGCAGAAGGUCCAGGAGGCUUGUUCAGUGCAGGAAAAAAUCAGCAGCCUCAGAAAGGUUGACCGAGGACAUUAUCGCAGCCGAAGAGACCGAUCGUCCAGCAGCGAGCACGCACAGGACAGCAGGAGCAGGACGGAGGAGAAGCCUCGCCGGAAGCGGUCCCACCACGAGUGGGAGCAGUCCCGGUCCGAGCGGCCCCAGCCCGAGCCCUGUGCCGCGGCCCCGCAUGCCCCCUGCCCCGGAUCCCUGGCCAGGUCUGGCCACCUGCACUCCCGGAGCAUGGGGGCCCUCGACCAGGAGUGGGGCCGCUACCACCACGCUGAGGCCGAGCACGCCUGGACCCGGGAGAAGUACUACCCGGAUGGGAUGCGCUGGGGGCGGUGCGGGUACCACCACAACAGGUACGCCCUGUACCCGGCCCGCGAGCCGUGGGAGUGGAGGCCUUUCCAUGCCGAGCGAGAGUACGACCGAGCCGGGCCCUACGGUGGCCGGCCCCACAAGGACCACUACAGAGGCCGGAAGGGCUACGAGCCGGCGGCCAAAGAGAGGGACCGGCACCGCGUCAGCAGCCCCCGGACGGGCCUGGCCCACGCGCCCCCUCCGCACCCUGCUGACAAGUACGCCCACGACAAGGCUGCACUAGGGGCUGAAGCCAGAAGCUGCGACCUUGCCGGUCAGUUUCAAGAACACAAAAACGUCAAGUCACGAAAACGGAGGUACAGUGGUGCAGAGGAUAAUGACAGCCAUGUAGAAAAGAAAGCCUGGAGAAGCUUACAAAAGGCUCCUUUAGAGGAGCCUAAAGUGAAGAGGCACAAAAAAUCAAAGAAGAAAAAGAAAUCCAAAGGCAAACACCGAGACCGGGAUUCCAGGCAUCAGCAGGACUCAGACCUUUCGGUAGCGCACUCUAAUGGUGACCUCCACAGACACAAGAAGAAAAAGAAGAAGAAGAAGAGGCACUCAAGGAAAUCAGAGGACUUGGUUAGAGAUUCAGAGCCACACUUGCCCAAGGCUGCCAGCUGUGAGACUGUGGACCAUUUCCAGAGAGCGGUCAGCGCUUUCCCCCUCACAGACAGCCAGCCUCUGGACGGUGUGGGACCUUGCCGUGAGAAAACAAAACAUUUCUGGAUGGAAACCAGGGAUGACAAGUGUCAUCUGUCUGAGUGUGACCAGGGUAAGAGGACAUACUUGGAACUGCGAAUAUAGAAACUCUUUUCUUUGGAAAGGGUGGUUAACACAGGGAAGGAGCCUCAAAGGGCGUAGAAGGUGUAAGUCCCCUCUGAGCUCCCCGCCCUGUGUCCUCUGCCCGACGGCUGGCCCGAGGCUGCUGUGGCCGGUCUCGACGGUUAACCGUGCUGCCGCAGCGCUUACUGGAGACCUGAGUCAUGUGGAACCGGGAACCUCUGGAAUUGAUGGCUCUGAGUGUCUGAUUGUGGACCAGAACUUCUGUUUUUAAGCCAUUUUUGAUAGAAAUGUUGUGGUACAUUCUUUCUCUCCAGAAUCCUUAAGCCUUUGGCAUUGUGAGUAGAACCUAGAACUCAGUUUGGUGACUGGCUCGCUGGACGUCAUGCUUCAGGCCUGGGUUGGUGAAGCUCAGGCUCCUGACGGGGUUCCCUGGGUCACUGCAGGCCUCUGGGCUCUGGGAUUCUUGUCUGCUUUGCACAGUUCUGCCUUCCCUUGUAACUUCCCAGCCUUUUCUACUCUGAUUGCUCUGAAAGCAGAGCCCCCCUUGCUUCCUCACCUGUUCCGAUGACCUUCGACCCUGGAAGGAGUGCUGAGCGUUUUUGAGGGGGCCGGGGGCCUAGGACAGGGCUGGACUGGCCGCCGCCUUUGCGCGGCCUGACGGUAAGGAAGGAUUUGACGUUUUUAAAUGGUUGGAAGAGUUAAAAGAAGAACAUUUCAUUUCACAUGAAAAUCGUGUGGAAUUGAGGUGUCAGUAGAGCCGCAAGGAACCCAGCCCAGCCCGCCCGUCUGCUCGUCCACGGGGACAGGUGUGUUGGCCUCGCCCUGGACCCCUGAGGCGCACCCUCGCGACCCUGCCCGCUGUCCUAGAUGCCCAGGGGCCACAGGGUUCUCGACUGCAUCCUGGACCCGGGUGAUUGAAAAUGUGGCCUCAAAACAAAAAAUUCACUAGUUACGGUUCAAUGUGUUCAACAGAAGCCAUCCCCAACCCAGAUUAAAUCCUGAUUAAAUUAUAAAUAUAGAGAAAAUAACUGUUCAAAUCUGCGUGGUGCUUCUUUAGUAAAUACUGUACAGAUUUUACCAUGGAGGACUUUUUUUUUUAGUUUUUACCUUUUCUUAAUUACCCUUAUUCCAAAUGGAUGGACACUUUCUACAACUGCUGACCAUUGUAAAAUACGGUGUAUAUAAAUCACAUUGAAAAUAACGCCCUGGACUAGAACAUCUCAAAUGCUGCUUAAUCACAGACUCAGGUUGAUCACUCGUAUUCCAUGUAAUGCUCCUCCAAGUUAGACAUCCGGUGCAAGACCGACCGGGAAACCAUGGAAUUAUUAAAAGUACAAACUGACAGCGUGUAUAUUUAAUUUAAAAACUUAUUUAAAGAUUCACAAGCUCUCAACUAGACUUUUGAGAGCAGUCUGUUUUCUGUAAUGUCUGAUACUAGAAACUAAUUUGCUUCAUAUUUUAGUUGUAUUCAAGAUUUGAAGAUUUUAUAGACAAGUUCUGUUUUUGAACUUUGUGGAACUAUUCCAAUCAAUUUACCAGUUAUGAUGAGUAUUUACAUUAUGAAUGUAUAAUCCGAACAUUAUUUGUAAGGCCUACAGUAUGUUUUUAUUACAUAACACUUUUUUAUACAGUGUCUCUUGUCUUGACUAUGAUAUUGGAGUCUGAGUUGUCAGCUUGGUCCCUUAAAGUUUCUAGUUACAGACAAAAAUCAUACUGUGAUUUUAUUUUUAAUAUGGAUAUGCUAUCAAACUGUGAUACACUUAUAAUUCACUGGUCCUGCAUCAGGAGUUGGAGUGGGGAAAACUGUAUUUAAUACAGUUUGUAUCUGAAUAAUCUGUAUGGUUUAUACAGUUUGUGUUGUUCAGAGACGUCUAAAGUUUGAUCUUUGUUUUUUUAAAGAUUAAAAAAGCACUUGCCCCACUGUAAAUAUACAGCAUGUAAAAUUUAUAUAGUAUAUAAA